GAUGAACGCUGGCGGCGUGCUUAACACAUGCAAGUCGAACGGAAAGGCUCCUGCUUGCAGGGGUACUCGAGUGGCGAACGGGUGAGUAACACGUGGGUGAUCUGCCCUGCACUUCGGGAUAAGCCUGGGAAACUGGGUCUAAUACCGGAUAGGACGAUGGUUUGGAUGCCAUUGUGGAAAGUUUUUCGGUGUGGGAUGAGCUCGCGGCCUAUCAGCUUGUUGGUGGGGUAAUGGCGUACCAAGGCGUCGACGGGUAGCCGGCCUGAGAGGGUGUACGGCCACAUUGGGACUGAGAUACGGCCCAGACUCCUACGGGAGGCAGCAGUGGGGAAUAUUGCACAAUGGGCGCAAGCCUGAUGCAGCGACGCCGCGUGGGGGAUGACGGCCUUCGGGUUGUAAACUCCUUUCGCUAGGGACGAAGCGCAAGUGACGGUACCUGGAGAAGAAGCACCGGCUAACUACGUG
rnacentral:rRNA from 1 species